rnacentral:rRNA from 1 species
CCUACGGGAGGCAGCAGUAGGGAAUCUUCCACAAUGGGCGCAAGCCUGAUGGAGCAACACCGCGUGAGUGAAGAAGGGUUUCGGCUCGUAAAGCUCUGUUGUUGGAGAAGAACGUGCGUGAGAGUAACUGCUCACGCAGUGACGGUAUCCAACCAGAAAGUCACGGCUAACUACGUGCCAGCAGCUGCGGCAAUACGUAGGUGGCAAGAGUUAUCCGGAUUUAUUGGGCGUAAAGCGAGGGCAGGCGGUUGCUUAGGCCUGAAGGGAAAGCCUUCGGCUUAACCGAAGAAGUGCAGCGGAAACCGGGCGUCUUGAGUGCGAGAGAGGAAUGUGGAACUCCAGGUGUAGCGGUGGAAUGCAUAGAUAUAUGGCAGAACACCGAUGGCGAAGGCAGCAGUCUGGUCUGCAACUGACGCUGAGGCUCGAAAGCAUGGGUAGCGAACAGGAUUAGAUACCCCAGUAGUC